rnacentral:rRNA from 1 species
GAGUUUGAUCGUGGCUCAGAUUGAACGCUGGCGGCAGGCCUAACACAUGCAAGUCGAGCGGAUGAAGGGAGCUUGCUCCUGGAUUCAGCGGCGGACGGGUGAGUAAUGCCUAGGAAUCUGCCUGGUAGUGGGGAUAACGUCCGGAAACGGGCGCUAAUACCGCAUACGUCCUGAGGGAGAAAGUGGGGGAGUCUUCGGACCUCACGCUAUCAGAUGAGCCUAGGUCGGAUUAGCUAGUUGGUGGGGUAAAGGCCUACCAAGGCGACGAUCCGUAACUGGUCUGAGAGGAUGAUCAGUCACACUGGAACUGAGACACGGUCCAGACUCCUACGGGAGGCAGCAGUGGGGAAUAUUGGACAAUGGGCGGAAAGCCUGAUCCAGCCAUGCCGCGUGUGUGAAGAAGGUCUUCGGAUUGUAAAGCACUUUAAGUUGGGAGGAAGGGCAGUAAGUUAAUACCUUGCUGUUUUGACGUUACCAACAGAAUAAGCACCGGCUAACUUCGUGCCAGCAGCCGCGGUAA